rnacentral:lncRNA from 1 species
GAACCAUCCUAAUAAAAAUACUAUUUCCUUGAAUAUAUUUACUUCGUCAAAGAACUUUCUAGACAUUGUAGAUGACCCUCCAAACGUUUUGUUUCUCUUGGAAAUUGGUUUUCUACUAGCUUAGCCACUUUUUAUAGUCUCUUUGUUCUCCAAAAUAUAUGCAAGGGAACUGUUAAGAAAGGCGACAGUAAGAAACCCUUUUCUUAGGCUCUCCUUCGUUUUUCAAAUGAGAAACAUAUCUGAAGUUGGCAUGUCUUCUGUGGAACGCUACCGGCGCGGUCGCGACGGUGUUUGGCAACCCAGACACUGCUUUGUGACUCCCAGUGAACCCUGCUUUAUAUCCUGCAAAUCAGUAUUCCUUCCCCUCUGAGGGGUCUGCUGCUCCCUUCCGCAGGCGGAGCUCCUUAGCACUGAACAGCCUCCGGGCCUGGCUCCUUCCGCGCUGCCCGAGACGAGCUCACAAACCGGCCCACGAGAACCUGACAGCAGUGACUGCGACGCCUUUCUUAUCACGGCUUUAAGAACGACAAAACUUCUUGAAAUGCAAAACAGCGAUGAAAAUGCAAGUCUCAGAUUUACUGACAUACAAGAAACAACGGAAGGGGAAUUACAAUGUUUGAAGACGACAAGAGGAGAUUAUUCAGAAGAGAGACACUAGCAGUUUCACAAGAAAAGGGGACAGGACUGGACCGCUGGCUGUUCCUUCUUUGAUCCCAGGCAUGAUUUCAGCUUGUAGAAUAAAUGAGAAAUGCCAGUUGGUUUAAUUAAAAGA